GAAGAGCCUUUACCCACGAGGAGUACUGAAUAAAUAGACUUUUGCUAUUUCUCUCCAAAGAGGUUGGGAAGGAACCACUCAUGAGGAAAGCCUGGAGGGUACAAAUUGUCAGAAUGAAGUAUGGUCCUUUGUUCAGAAUCAGAAGAGUUAACCACUCAAAUCAUAAAAUACCAGCUGAAGCUCACUUCACCAAGCAGAGGGGAGCAACAUGCAAAGAAGAGAAACAGGACAACACUGAAAAUACUCGAGAUAUAAUCUCUCCAGAUUAAAUCAAGACGAGUCCACUUGGGAUCCUAGAGGUCAUGCUUUUGACGAAAAGAUCUAGGAAGCAUGCUUCAAGGUAGCACAGAAGAGAGUCAGAGCUUUUUGUCUUCUUUUUUUAAUUUAAUAAAACAGAAUGAGAUUGAGCGAUGCAGAAUAAGCUGCCUAUCUGAGAGCUGCCUGAGGCUGAAGGAAGAGAUACGACAUUGAGACAGAGCUAACCUAACUGGCUCUCAUGGGGAUUGAUCGCAUGCCUGACCUUCCACUACAGUGUUCUAAGCAUUUGAGAUAACUGGGUGUGCCUCCCCUACAAAUGCAACAGGUUGAGUCUGGAGGGAAAAAAUGGGACAAGAUCUGAAUGAGUGCUGAGUCUACACUGAGGAGCCUUGACUUCGGUAAUAUCCUUACAUAUGGAGUUGUUUAGGAAGAGAAUGCUGUUAAAUGCUGUGAUUUCUAAAACCCACCUUGGACCAGAGAUGAUGCUAACGUUUGUCACUUGGUGACAUCAAGAGGUGUCUCAGAUGGAAGAAAAAGUAGAGGAAAAUAUGUGAAGGCUGGUGAAGAAUACAGUCAAGAGUUGAGGAUGAGCUGAAGUAGUGACCAUGGUGAUGAUGCUGGCAGGUGCAAAAGCUACUUAGGAGCCAGGAUUGAUAACUGGAAGUGACAAUCAACCAGAUAUGGAAGGUGAGAGAGACGAAAGAUGAAGCUUCAGUGCCUCUUGGCUUUCUAGCCUAGGGAAUGGGUUAAUUCUCCAAGAGAGGAAAUAUAGGAGAGGCUCUAAGUUUGGUAGGGGGGUAGACUGUUAAAUUUAGUAUUGUUAUUGGUACUCAUUGCUCCUUGGAUUGUAAUUAUGGUAUUGGUAUUUUCUCUAUGAGGCUUAAAACAUAUCCCAGGAAGGAUAAUUUCACUCACUGACAU